CCUACGGGAGGCAGCAGUGAGGAAUAUUGGUCAAUGGGCGCGAGCCUGAACCAGCCAAGUCGCGUGAGUGAUGACGGCCCUACGGGUUGUAAACCUCUUUUGCCGGGGAGCAACAGGCGCCACGUGUGGCGUCACUGCUAGUACCCGGCUAAAAAGCAUCGGCUAACUCCGUGCCAGCAGCCGCGGUAAUACGUAGGAUGCGAGCGUUAUCCGUAUGUAUUGGGUUUACAGGGUUCGUAGGCGGAUCGUUAAGUCAGUGGUCAAAUGUAGGGGCCAAACCCCUUCCCGCCAUUGAAACUGGAGUUCUUGAGUGGAAGAGAAGUAUGCGGAAUGCGAGGUGUAGCGGUGAAAUGCACAGAUAUCACGCAGAACCCCGAUUGCGAAGGCAGCAUGCCGGCUUCCGACUGACGCUGAAGCACGAAAGCGUGGGGAUCGAACAGGAUUAGAUACCCUUGUAGUC
rnacentral:rRNA from 1 species